rnacentral:misc_RNA from 1 species
AAGACUAUAGACCUGCGGAGUACCUGCGGAAGGAUCAUUACAGGACUCGCAAGACUCCUACAACCCUGUGAACCUACUAUACGAACGUUGCUUCGGCGGGUGCGCCCCGGGGAUUCGUUCCCGCGGCGCGUCAGCCCGCCGGCAGCCUACAAAUUCUGUUUCUUUGCGUUGGCAUCUCGAGAAAAACAAAUAAGUUAAAACUUUCAGCAAUGGAUCUCU